CCCCCUUUUUUAUUGUUUCCCCGGGAACUGGGGAUAAUACCUGAUAGGCUAUGGUUCCUGGAAUGGUCUAUAGCUCAAAUGCGUUAGCGCUUGAGGAUGGGUCUGCGUCUGAUUAGGUUGUUGCCGGUGUAACGUACCGGCAAGCCGAUAAUCAGUACGGGUUGUGAGAGCAAGAGCCCGGAGAUGGAUUCUGAGACAUGAAUCCAGGCCCUACGGGGCGCAGCAGGCGCGAAACCUUCACACUGCGCGCAAGCGCGAUGAGGGAACCUCGAGUGUCGGUGCCAAGCAUCGACUGUCCCGCUGCCUAAACAGCAGCGGUUAGCAAGGGCCGGGCAAGACCGGUGCCAGCCGCCGCGGUAACACCGGCGGCUCGAGUGGUGAUCACUAUUAUUGAGCUUAAAGGGUCCGUAGCCGGUCUGGUAACUCUCUUGGGAAAUCUGGCGGCUUAACCGUCAGGCGUCCGGGAGAAACUGUCAGACUUGGGAGCGGGGGAGGUUGGAGGUACUCCAGGGGUAGAGGUGAAAUUCUGUAAUCCUUGGGGGACCACCAGUGGCGAAGGCGUCCAACCAAAACGCGUCCGACGGUGAGGGACGAAAGCCAGGGGCACGAACCGGAUUAGAUACCCGGGUAGUCCUGGCUGUAAACGAUGCGGGCUAGGUGUCACAAUGGCUACGAGCCACUGUGGUGCCGUAGAGAAAUCGUGAAGCCUGCCGCUUGGGAAGUACGGCCGCAAGGCUGAAACUUGAAGGAAUUGGCGGGGGAGCAC
rnacentral:rRNA from 1 species